GGCUGUAGCUCAGUGGUAGAGCAUCUGUUCUGCAUUCAGAAGGUCGCAGGUUCAAUCCCUGGAAUCUCCA